rnacentral:rRNA from 1 species
AUGUGCUCCUGCGCGCCCCUCCCCCACCCACCCUUCAAACCCGCGCCCGCGCCCCAUCCAAACCUAAACCCAAAUCCCAACGCCGCCUCCGCGCACGGACCAACACUGCUCCGCUGCGCCCUCGUCGCGCGCGCGGCCGCAAGGGACGAUCCGCCGCCGGCGCCGUCCAGCUUCGACUUCCUGGCGCUGAAGCGGGAGCUCGAGGAGCAGGAGGAGGCGGUGGUCCCUGUGGAUGCGACGGAGGGAGGAGGAGACGAGGUUGUUAACGAGGAAGAUGGCGAGAGGGAGCCAAAGAGGAUUGUUAGCAGCGGGAGGAGGACAGGGAGGCAAAUGGCGAGGCGGUCGGGGCUGCUCGCGAAGCAGGUGAUCAGCGUCAGCUCAGCGCGGAGCCUCGGGUUCGUGUCUCAGCUGUGGGUCGACGCCUCGUCGUGGGUUGUGGCAUUGGUUGAAGUGAGGCCAAGCUUGCUUUCAGGAGAUGCGGACAAAUUCCUUUUUGACGAUAUAUAUCAGAUUGGAGAUGUUGUGCUUGUUGAGGAUGAAUCUGUGGUUGAGAACGAAUUUAAGCUAGUUGGGCUGCAUGGCUUGGUUGGCUACAAUGUUGUAACUUCCAGGCGGCGCAAUGUCGGUAAGGUAAGCACGUACUGUUUAUUUGUGGAAGAUGUGCUUGAUAUAGUUUCUGAUACAAUCGUGGUGCAUGAAGAUGCAAUCUCUCGUGUUCAACGGUUAACACAGGGCAUCUGGGGCACCCAAAAUAUGCAAGGACCUGGCGAUCAGAUAGGCGAGUACAACAGAUAUGGAAGGCGAAGAGCUAGGUCUGUUAAGAGACAAAAUAGCCAGGGUAAGCCCAUGGGCCGAAAGCUCCAUAGGAAAACGCGGGAUCCGGAGGAUGAGUGGGAACUGCCAAUGGAGUAUUGA